rnacentral:rRNA from 1 species
UACGUAGGGUGCGAGCGUUGCCCGGAUUUAUUGGGCGUAAAGGGCGCGUAGGCGGCCACGCACGUCCGUUGUGAAAUCGCCCGGCUCAACUGGGCGGGGUCAGCGGAUACGGUGUGGCUCGAGCAAGCUAGGGGGCAAUGGAAUUCCCGGUGUAGUGGUGGAAUGCGUAGAUAUCGGGAGGAACACCAGUGGCGAAGGCGGUUGCCUGGAGCUUUGCUGACGCUGAGGCGCGAAAAGCGU